rnacentral:pre_miRNA from 1 species
AAUAGGUACAAAAAUCAGAGUGAGAGGGCCUUAGAGUAGUGGGAAUGGAUGGAAACAUGGAGGGAAUCCUAACUUCUCAGUUUUCACCUCUAGAGUUGGAGGCGAGAAUUCAAUUCUGUGUUUCUCGAUGUCUCUCAUUCCUAUUAUUCUUAAGCACUAAUUCCUUUUCCUUUUGGCU